GCCCUCAUAGCUCAGUUGGUAGAGCAGCGGCCUUUUAAGCCGAUGGUCGCAGGUUCGAGUCCUGCUGAGGGCA
rnacentral:tRNA from 1 species